rnacentral:misc_RNA from 1 species
GAUGAAGAACGCAGCGAAAUGCGAUACGUAAUGUGAAUUGCAAAUUCAGUGAAUCAUCGAGUCUUUGAACGCACAUUGCGCCCCCUGGUAUUCCGGGGGGCAUGCCUGUCCGAGCGUCAUUGCUGCCCUCAAGCACGGCUUGUGUGUUGGGCCCCGUCCUCCGAUCCCGGGGGACGGGCCCGAAAGGCAGCGGCGGCACCGCGUCCGGUCCUCGAGCGUGUGGGGCUUUGUCACCCGCUCUGUAGGCCCGGCCGGCGCUUGCCGAUCAACCCAAAUUUUUAUCCAGGUUGACCUCGGAUCAGGUAGGGAUACCCGCUGAACUUAAGCAUAUCAAUAAGCGGAGGA